UGGCGGACGGGUGAGUAACGCGUGGGUAACCUGCCUCAUACAGGGGAUAACAGUUAGAAAUGACUGCUAAUACCGCAUAAGACCACAGCACCGCAUGGUGCAGGGGUAAAAACUCCGGUGGUAUGAGAUGGACCCGCGUCUGAUUAGGUAGUUGGUGGGGUAACGGCCUACCAAGCCGACGAUCAGUAGCCGACCUGAGAGGGUGACCGGCCACAUUGGGACUGAGACACGGCCCAA
rnacentral:rRNA from 1 species